GUGGGGAAUAUUGGACAAUGGGGGCAACCCUGAUCCAGCCAUGCCGCGUGUGUGAAGAAGGCCUUCGGGUUGUAAAGCACUUUUGUUGGGGAAGAAAAGCAACCGGUCAAUACCCGGGUGUUCUGACGGUACCCAAAGAAUAAGCACCGGCUAACUUCGUGCCAGCAGCCGCGGUAAUACGAAGGGUGCAAGCGUUACUCGGAAUUACUGGGCGUAAAGCGUGCGUAGGCGGUUUGUUAAGUCUGUCGUGAAAGCCCCGGGCUCAACCUGGGAAUGGCGAUGGAAACUGGCGAGCUAGAGUACGGUAGAGGAGAGUGGAAUUCCCGGUGUAGCAGUGAAAUGCGUAGAGAUCGGGAGGAACAUCAGUUGCGAAGGCGGCUCUCUGGACCAGUACUGACGCUGAGGCACGAAAGCGUGGGGAGCAAACAGGAUUAGAUACCCGAGUAGUCC
rnacentral:rRNA from 1 species